CUUGUUGGCGGGGUAACGGCCCACCAAGGCAUCGACGGGUAGCUGGUCUGAGAGGACGGCCAGCCACACUGGGACUGAGACACGGCCCAGACUCCUACGGGAGGCAGCAGUGGGGAAUCUUGCGCAAUGGGCGAAAGCCUGACGCAGCAACGCCGCGUGCGGGAUGAAGGCUCUCGGGUCGUAAACCGCUUUCAGCAGGAACGAAAAUGACGGUACCUGCAGAAGAAGCACCGGCUAACUACGUGCCAGCAGCCGCGGUAACACGUAGGGUGCAAGCGUUGUCCGGAUUUAUUGGGCGUAAAGGGCCCGUAGGCGGCUUGAUAAGUCGGGUGUGAAAACUCCAGGCUCAACCUGGAGACGCCACCCGAUACUGUCAUGGCUAGAGUCUGGUAGGGGAGUGCGGAAUUCCUGGUGUAGCGGUGAAAUGCGCAGAUAUCAGGAGGAACACCGGUGGCGAAGGCGGCACUCUGGGCCAGUACUGACGCUGAGGGGCGAAAGCGUGGGUAGCAAACAGGAUUAGAUACCCUGGUAGUCCACGCCGUAAACGUUGGGCACUAGGUGUGGGGGGUUAUCAACGCCCUCUGUGCCGUAGCUAACGCAUUAAGUGCCCCGCCUGGGGAGUACGGCCGCAAGGCUAAAACUCAAAGGAAUUGACG
rnacentral:rRNA from 1 species